ACGCUGUGCCGUUUGCGCAUCCCUUCAUAUCUCGGGCUGUUGGUGACGGCAUGGUUUUGCGCUUGCCGUAUGACGCUGAUUCCCCGCCCCCCUCGCCGUGAGAGGUUGUGCGUGGUUGGUGGCUUCGUGUGUGGGCAGGAUGCAUGUGUGGGCGACCGUUAUAGUACCUGGACGCUUGCGCCCUGGUUAGUGCGUGCGCUGUGCGUGUGUCCUGCGGCCUAGACGUUUCCCGGCACUCCUGUGCCUAGGCCUGUGGCGUUGAGGCACAGCGGUGGGGCUCUGGCGGGUUGAGGCUUGGCUAGGACUCACUGUGCGCGGAGUCACACGGACUUUGCCCGCGGGAGGGUUUGCAGCAAAGUCAGGGUUGGUGGAGUCAAGUUGGGCCCUGAUAGCAUGUGAUGGCUCGGCGUCUUCGGGUGCUGGGACUGUCCCCUCUGUAACAUCCGCAUUCAUAACUU
rnacentral:lncRNA from 1 species